AACGAACGCUGGCGGCAGGCCUAACGCAUGCAAGUCGAACGCUGUAGCAAUACAGAGUGGCAGACGGGUGAGUAACGCGUGGGAACCUUCCCAGUGGUACGGAAUAGCUCAGGGAAACUUGAGGUAAUACCGUAUAAGCCCCUAGGGGGAAAGAUUUAUCGCCAUUGGAUGGGCCCGCGUCGGAUUAGCUAGUUGGUAGGGUAAUGGCCUACCAAGGCGACGAUCCGUAGCUGGUCUGAGAGGAUGAUCAGCCACACUGGGACUGAGACACGGCCCAGACUCCUACGGGAGGCAGCAGUGGGGAAUAUUGGACAAUGGGCGCAAGCCUGAUCCAGCCAUGCCGCGUGAGUGACGAAGGCCUUAGGGUUGUAAAGCUCUUUUGGCGGGGACGAUAAUGACGGUACCCGCAGAAUAAGCUCCGGCUAACUUCGUGCCAGCAGCCGCGGUAAGAC
rnacentral:rRNA from 1 species